GAUGGAUCUGAGCCCGAAAUCAACGCUUCUUGUUACUCGCCGUGUUGAGGGCUUGGUUUUCAUCUCGGAGGUUUAGAUUCUCCGAUUCGAGCUUCCCGACGCUCUACUCUAGUUGCUUGGAAUGUUUGUUGAGCUUCUCCUUCAAGCUUUGGACUUCCGAGGAGAGUUCAGGAUUAGCCUCCUCCUGCAUUUUAUGUAGCUCGGUUACUUGACUUUGCAGACCAUCGAUUUGCCUUUGGAGUUUGGCUUCUCUUUGGGUAGCUUCGGGUAGCUCGUUCUGCUCGUCCACCGCCAUUAUCAUGUAGUUUAGAUUACUCCCCUC
rnacentral:lncRNA from 1 species